rnacentral:sRNA from 1 species
AUUCUGAAGACACACACAGCAAGGCUGCUGCAACUGCUGCAGCUGCUGCAGUGGUUGCUGCAGCUGCUGCAGUGGUUGCUGCAGCUGCUGCAGUUGUUGCUGCAGCUGCUGCAGCUGUUGUUGCAGCUGUUGCUGCAGCUGUUGCUGCAGCUGCUGCAGCUGUUGUUGCAGCUGUUGCUGCAGCUGUUGCUGCAUCUGCUGCAGCUGUUGCUGCAUCUGCUGCAGCUGUUGCUGCAGCUGUUGCUGCAGCUGCUGCAGCUGCUGGGAGCAGCAGCCAGGAUGC